rnacentral:rRNA from 1 species
GCCGGAAUUGCUAGUAAUGGCAGGUCAGCAUACUGCCGUGAAUACGUUCCCGGGCCCUUGUACACACCGCCCGUCACACCAUGAGAGUUGGGGAUACCCGAAGCCUGUGAGCCAACAGUUUACUGAGGCAGCAGUCGAAGGUAGAAUCAAUGAUUGGGGUGAAGUCGUAACAAGGUACC